AUUGAACGCUGGCGGCAGGCCUAACACAUGCAAGUCGAACGAGUGGCGGACGGGUGAGUAAUAUCUGGGAAUCUGCCUGAUGGAGGGGGAUCACUACGGAAAAGGGUAGCUAAUACCGCAUACCAUCGGAUGUGCCCAGAUGGGAUUAGCUAGUAGGUGGGGUAACGGCUCACCUAGGCGACGAUCCCUAGCUGGUCUGAGAGGCUGACCAGCCACACUGGAACUGAGACACGGUCCAGACUCCUACGUGAGGCAGCAGUGGGGAAUAUUGCACAAUGGGCGCAAUCCUGAUGCAGCCAUGCCGCGUGUAUGAAGAAGGCCUUCGGGUUGUAAAUUACUUUCAGCGGGGAGGCGUUACCCGCAGAAGAAGCACCGGCUAACUCCGUGCCAGCAGCCGCGGUAAUUC
rnacentral:rRNA from 1 species